rnacentral:rRNA from 1 species
AACCGAGAACUCCUACGGGAGGCAGCAGUGGGGAAUCUUGCGCAAUGGGCGAAAGCCUGACGCAGCGACGCCGCGUGGGCGAUGAAGGCCUUCGGGUUGUAAAGCUCUGUCCUAAGAGAAGAAGAAGUGACGGUAACUUAGGAGGAAGCCCCGGCUAACUACGUGCCAGCAGCCGCGGUAAUACGUAGGGGGCUAGCGUUGUCCGGAAUUACUGGGCGUAAAGGGUGAGUAGGUGGUCAUUAAAGUCAGAUGUAAAAGGCAAUGGCUCAACCAUUGUAAGCAUUUGAAACUUAAUGACUUGAGUGCAGGAGAGGUAAAUGGAAUUCCUAGUGUAGCGGUGAAAUGCGUAGAUAUUAGGAAGAACACCAGUGGCGAAGGCGAUUUACUGGACUGUAACUGACACUGAGUCACGAAAGCGUGGGGAGCAAACAGGAUUAGAAACCCGGGUAGUCCGACUGAGA